GGUGCCUGAACGCCUGCACGUACUGCAAAACCAAGCACGCCAGGGGCAACCUGGCCAGCUACCCCGUGGAGCAGCUUGUGGACCGAGCCCGGCAAUCCUUCCUGGAGGGUGUGUGUGAGAUCUGGCUCACCAGUGAGGACACGGGCGCCUACGGGAAGGACAUCGGCACAGACCUGCCCUCGCUGCUCUGGAGGAUGGUGGAGGUGAUCCCCGAGGGCGCCAUGUUGCGGUUGGGCAUGACCAACCCGCCUUACAUCCUGGAGCACCUGGAGGAGAUGGCGAAGAUCCUGAGCCACCCACGGGUGUACGCCUUCCUCCAUGUGCCCGUGCAGUCGGCCUCCGACAGCGUCCUCAUGGACAUGAAGCGGGAGUACUGCAUCGCAGACUUCCGCCGCGUCGUUGACUUCCUCGCA